CACGCCGUAAACGGUGGGUACUAGGUGUGGGUUUCCUUCCACGGGAUCCGUGCCGUAGCUAACGCAUUAAGUACCCCGCCUGGGGAGUACGGCCGCAAGGCUAAAACUCAAAGGAAUUGACGGGGGCCCGCACAAGCGGCGGAGCAUGUGGAUUAAUUCGAUGCAACGCGAAGAACCUUACCUGGGUUUGACAUAUAGAGGAUCGCCGGAGAGAUUCGGUUUGCCUUGUGCCUUCUAUACAGGUGG
rnacentral:rRNA from 1 species